rnacentral:snoRNA from 1 species
ACAAGCCUAUGAUGGUUAGUUAUCCCUGUCUGAAAAUCUUCACUGAGGGAAAAUAGUCUGUUCUGAGGCUGAG